GCCUAACACAUGCAAGUCGAACGCGGUUGCUUCUGCUUCGCAAGAAGCAGUGGCAACUGAGUGGCGAACGGGUGAGUAACACGUGGGCAAUCUGCCCUGCACUCUGGGACAAGCCCUGGAAACGGGGUCUAAUACCGGAUAAUACCUGCCGAGGCAUCUCGGUGGGUUGAAAGCUCCGGCGGUGCAGGAUGAGCCCGCGGCCUAUCAGCUUGUUGGUGGGGUGAUGGCCUACCAAGGCGACGACGGGUAGCCGGCCUGAGAGGGCGACCGGCCACACUGGGACUGAGACACGGCCCAGACUCCUACGGGAGGCAGCAGUGGGGAAUAUUGCACAAUGGGCGAAAGCCUGAUGCAGCGACGCCGCGUGAGGGAUGACGGCCUUCGGGUUGUAAACCUCUUUCAGCAGGGAAGAAGCGAAAGUGACGGUACCUGCAGAAGAAGCGCCGGCUAACUACGUGCCAGCAGCCGCGGUAAU
rnacentral:rRNA from 1 species